rnacentral:snRNA from 1 species
GCGCUCACUGCCAUAGCGCAUGUACUAAAAUUGGUAUAAUGCGGAGAUUAAUGUGGCCUCUGCAUGAGGUUGACAUGCAGGCAAGUGAAGUGUUCUAGACUCUU